AAAUCAUCUAGAGGGAAGGCACAGCAAGCUGAAGAAACAAGUCACCUGUACACAUCCAAACAUCUUUCCACUAAUUAAACUUCUGAAACAUGGGGAAGCCUUCAAUGCCCUGACCAGUAUGCAGCCGUUGGGAAGAGAGUGGCCCCUAAAAAAGAAGUAUGUAGAAAUCAACAACAGAUUAGACCACCUUAAGGUUAGACACCGCAACCA
rnacentral:lncRNA from 1 species